rnacentral:lncRNA from 1 species
AACCAAAUUAUCGAAAUAUCUGUUGACAUCACAAAACAUUUUUUUGACCUCUCCAAAGAUGGGUCUACAUCAGUGUCAACAAAAGAUAAGGCUACGUAUGCAGGUAAAUCCUUUUAUUUGAAAAAAACAUUGCAUAUAAUAUAGUAUACAGUAAUGCUGUAUAAAACAGUGGCUCACCUGUCUCCUGCUGUGUGUGUCCUGUCAGAGAUUCACAAGGCUAAGGUUGUUGAUGACGAUGACUGUAAGUGUGGAGGGGGUCUUUGUGGAUGUGGGCCAAACUGCUGUUCCUGGUGGAAGUGGCUGCUGGGGUUUUUGCUCAGUCUCCUGCUGCUCCUCGGCCUUCUGUUUGGACUCAUUGCUUUAUCUGAGGAGGUGAAGAAACUACAGUCUCGUGUCAGCGCUCUUGAGGGAAUAUCCUCCUCCAUGACAGCCCACUCGAGUCGUCUGUCCUCUCCUAUUGAUGACAUUGGCAUAUAUAAAGAAGCUGGAAGUAAAGCGGCAUAUGUUAAUUCACUGGAUUCUGCACACAGUACAGACGAUUCUGUACUGCAGAGAAAUGUACAGCAAAUAUUGAGAGCAGAGCUGCAGUCAGAAGCCAUGAAAGCCUUCCUUGCUUCUUCAGUUAAAGCUGAAAGAGGACUUCCAGGGCCUAAAGGUACACCAGAUAUUCAGUUUUUACUGAACUGCCAGUACAGAAAACUUUAUUCCUACAUUCUAUGGAGAUUUAAUAGUCAAUAACCUGCUUUUCCAUCACUACAUCAAUCACACAUUUGCUCUUUUCACCACUCUUAGGUGACACUGGAUCUCCAGGAACGAAGGGUUUGUACAAUUUUAAAACUGGCUGUGAAAUGUGAAUUAGAUUAACUGUUUAUAUUGAUGUGCUUACAGUCUCAAACAUGAAAACUUAAACAAUUUAAACCUGUUUUUCAGGUGAUAACGGUUUUCCAGGCCUACCAGGUAAGAAUAAUGCUUGAUCCUCUUGUAGAGUGCAGAAUGAAGUCUUAAAAUAUUUCAUUGUUUUUUUUGUUUG